rnacentral:rRNA from 1 species
AGAUAUUAUCCCCUUGUAGUGUAGUUUAAUAGCUAUCUACAUAUUAGCUUAAUAUAAAGUAUAAUAGUUUAUAUUUUAUAAUAUGACGUUAACAAUUUUGUUUAAUAUUUGAAAAUGUUAGUAUUAGUAAUAUUAGUAUAUGUGCUAAAGGAACUCGGCAAAAAACCACUCAACUGUUUAUCAAAAACAUAGCUAUAUGAAUUAAUAUAUAGUUAUUUCUGCUCAAUGAUUUAAAUAGCCGCAGUACUCUGACUGUGCAAAGGUAGCAUAAUCAGUUGGCUUUUAAUUAGAGUCUGGUAUGAACGAAAAUAUGGGUAGUAACUGUCUUAGCACAUUUUUUCGAACUUAUUAAACAAGUGCAAAUGCUUGUAAUUUAACAAUAGACGAGAAGACCCUAGAAACUUGGACAAGUUUUUGUUGGGGCGACAGAAUUACACUUAACUAAUCUUAUAAUACACGACGCGAUGUUGAAAGAAUAAGUUACUCUAGGGAUAACAGCAUAAUUUCAUUAGUUUGUGACCUCGAUGUUGGACUAGGUACUAUACCCUUAAGGCAAGGAUAUAUUAUGCUCUGUUCGAGCAAAAUUACCUACAUGAUCUGAGUUCAGACCGG